GACGAACGCUGGCGGCGCGCUUAACACAUGCAAGUCGAACGGAAAGGCCUGCUUUCCCUUGUGGAUUGCGGGUACUCGAGUGGCGAACGGGUGAGUAACACGUGAGUGAUCUGCCCCCAACUUGGGUAUAAGCCUGGGAAACUGGGUCUAAUUCCCGAUAGGACUGCAGGGUGGUGCCUGUGGUGGAAAACGAUUUUCUAGUGGUUGGGUAUGAGCUCGCGGCCUAUCAGCUUGUUGGUGGGGUAAUGGCCUACCAAGGCGGCGACGGGUAGCCGGCCUGAGAGGGUGGACGGCCACAUUGGGACUGGGAUACGGCCCAGACUCCUACGGGAGGCAGCAGUGGGGAAUAUUGCACAAUGGGCGGAAGCCUGAUGCAGCGACGCCGCGUGGGGGAUGACGGCCUUCGGGUUGUAAACUCCUUUCGACCGCGAGGAAGCCACCUGGUUGGAAGGGUGGUGACGGUAGUGGUAGAAGAAGCACCGGCUAACUACGUG
rnacentral:rRNA from 1 species